GCUUAAAAAUAAGCAAGAGCAGUAAGCAACCAAGGUUUCAGUAUAGAAUACUGGAAGCCUGCCUGUGCAAACUGGAACUCGUACAACAUAAAUCCAGAGUAUGAAACAAAAUGCACAGCAACAACCAGAGUGAACCAGAAGAAAGCAGGAGAACUAAUGAAGAGGAUAACAACCAUGAACAACAGAGUGUUAUCCUUCUUUCACCAGCUAACUGAAAACUUGGAUUAGAGGUCUCAAUAAUCCUGGACUGGGCCAAAUCCUGACCAGAUGCUGUGGUGGUCAUGGAGGAGUGGAGAGUGAGAGACUGAUUCCUGAAAGACACACGUGAUAGAUGAGUUUCCGCAUGGAUCCAGUGGGCCAGCCUGACCACUCGCCGGUGACCUUUCAAGCCUCUGGUGCCUAGACUGCGGCUUUGCACAAGUUUGGCUAGAGGAAAAUUGGUCGUGCCCAACUGAGCCUGGUAUCUCUCAAGGGCUUUUAUUCUACACUUUCGUCAGUUGGUGAAGUUUGUUCCAUGCCACUGUCGCCACUGGCUCGCUUGGCUUCAAUUGCUGGAUCCGUGGAUUUGCUCUUCAGUGUUUGGACUUUCAGCAGAGACAUUUACUGCUUCAACUCUGAAAACUGGACUGAAGCAGCUUCAAUUUACAAAAACUUCUAUGUUAAGUUGC